GGUUUUUCCUAGCGGCACUUGAACAAAAUGGUUCUAACCAUACGCCGCGUUUUUUUGCUUUUAAGCUUGAUUUUGCUCAUCCAAAAGGCAGAAUUUGCACAAACUAUCACAUCAGCACCGGAAAAUCCAUUUUUCGUUUUGAAAGGCAGCAACAUCACUCUGGUAUGGCAGUAUAACUUUGGCGGAACGUUUAGUAAUUUUUUCUUCCGACUCCCCGGCAGUCCUCCGGUCAAUGUCGUAGACAAAUUCGACAUCAACGCAAAUGAGUUGAUUCCAGAGGCUUAUAAAGGUCGCAUCCAAGUAAACGUAACGACUUCGCUUACAGCUAUAACGUUCCUAGAUGUACAAAGAUCAGACAGCGGAAAAUACGAAUUUGAAAUAUUCACUUUUGUAGGGGAAAUUAGCCCUUAGGGAAUAAUGAAGUUGCAAACCUUAAAUGCUGACUUGAAGAAGUAAUUAUAAAAUCAAUUUGCAACGUAGGACUGGCAAUUUCUUACACUGCACAUAAAUGCUUGCUGUCUUUGUCGCAUUGCCACACUCAUUACUGGCUUCACACUUGUAUUCUCCAGCUUCAAUCCUGCUGAUAUUCAUCCGCUCCAACACAUUUCCAGCAAUACUCCGACCAUCAGACUUAAUCCAAGACACCACUGGUGGAGGCAUUCCAGCUGCAAUACACGUCAGAGUCACAUUGCCACCUUCAGUUACGUUCUGAUCGUGUAGUGUUUCAUUAUAUGAAGGCACAACAAGUACUCACGACAAAAAUCGAAUUCCACUGUGCGAUUUGGUGCAGUUCCUAUUCCAUUAGAUGCUUGACAGCGAUAUGUUCCGCUAUUAUUUCUAUUGUUUUCGAGGACAAACUGAUUCCCAGUUGCCAGUAUAUCACUGUCACUUCCGUUAGCAUAGACUCUGGUCCAGGUGAUGUUUGGUGUUGGUUCCCCAUCUGCGGUACACUCGAAAGUAAUACUGGGGUCACUGUCACUAACAACUACAUCAUCACUGACACUAGUUAAUUCUGGUGGAUCUGAUUAAA